rnacentral:rRNA from 1 species
UACGUAGGGACCAAGCGUUGUUCGGAUUUACUGGGCGUAAAGGGCGCGUAGGCGGCGUGACAAGUCAAUUGUGAAAUCUCCGGGCUUAACUCGGAACGGUCAAUUGAUACUGUUGUGCUAGAGUACAGAAGGGGCAAUCGGAAUUCUUGGUGUAGCGGUGAAAUGCGUAGAUAUCAAGAGGAACACCUGAGGUGAAGACAGGUUGCUGGGCUGAUACUGACGCUGAGGCGCGAAAGCUAGGGUAGCAAACGGG